UAUCUUCAGUUUAACCUUUUUUUUUUGGUUCUUUUUCUUUUCUUCUAUAAAUUCUAUAGAAGUUAUUCAACCGAGGCUCAAGCUCCAGCAGCAUCAAAUGACACUUUCAUCUGUGACCCUUCAAAGUCCUCGUCCACUCCGCCUUUGUGCUCUCCUAGCAAUGGUAAAGCUUCACAAUUUCUGGCAUCUGCUGAAAAGGAACGUGUGAAUUGAAUUGUAUGGUGCACAUUUGAUAACAGAGUUUGGAGCAUGUGGUGACCGUUAAUUAUAUAACGGUUCAUCCACAAUGUACACACUUCGUUUGGAGCAGUUUCUCACAACUCUUAUACUAAUGCAAUAUAGAAGCUAAAAAUCCGACCCAGUUGAACUCAUUUUUGGUGGUGUUAAUUGUCUCAAUUUUUUUGGCAGAUCAUACAGAUGGCAGUGUUUUGCUCCGUUUUGUCCUCUUUAGAACUGUCUGAGUUUGAAAUGAUGAUUUAUUGUUGUUUGGUUGUGCCAUUCUUUUCAUUACUGUCUUCUUUUUGAUGAAUUGCAUUGCACUGGUCCUAGUGUCUCGCACGUGAUUCUCGAGCUUAAUUGUUGUCUUCAUGAUUAAACACUAAAGUAAAGUUGUGUUAGAAAUGUUUAUACAAGUAUAUAAUAGAAUAAGGUUGACCUUUUCAUUUGA